GUGUUCAAUUAAAGGAGAGAUGGUUGGCAUCUCCCCUGACAGGGUUGGGAACAGCCUUCGGGCUUCCCUGUUAACACAUACGGUUAAGGCUACCCACCUCUUGUAGGUGGAUCUAACUGAAGUUUUUG